AGAAGGGACUGAAUCUUAGGAAGAAAGAUCAUCUCCACCACUGGGUGAAAAACACAACCUUACUAGGUGGCUGGGCCUGCUGUAGCCGGACCUGUAGAGGAGCAUCUAAGUUGCUUGUUUACCAUCAUGAAAACGGCUGAUGACCAGACUCUGCAUAUGAAGAAAACUGAAGCCCCUCAGCAUCAAUGUGAGAUUUGCCAUCGCCCAUUUUCUGACAAGAGGAUGUUGAGAAAUCAUCAAGAAUCUGUUCAUAAGAAAGUGAAGCCUUUCCUUUGUAAUUACUGUGGGUAUUCAACUGCUUCUCGCUCCACUCUCAAGAUGCACAUGCGGCAGCAUACAGGUGAAAAGCCAUUUGCAUGUGAAAAGUGUAAGUACCGCACUUCUGAUCACAAUUCUCUGCGGCGACACAAGAUGCAGCAUUCAGGUGUUCGGCCAUAUCGCUGCCCCUACUGUGACUAUGCCUCCAUUCAGUCCACCACCUUUAAAGUUCAUCUUAAGGAUAAGCAUCCUGGCCUGGCUCAGAUAGAUGGCAUCAUGUUCACAUGUGGUGUAUGCUCCUUCAAAACUGUAAAGCGAGACAAUUUUCUUGCACAUGUAGCAGAGCACAGCAAAGGAGAAGGCAAGAAACGACAACCAGUCUCCCCAGCUUCAGUCAGCAAGACUGAGGAACCUCCGGGUAUUUAUGGAGAUUUGGCACCAUCUGCUCCUCACGUUGUCAAUAUUGAUGUUGAAAGUGGCAGAGUUACUGUUGAGAGUCCACAGGACUCAGAUUUUCUCAGUUCUGUCCAUAUGCAGGCACCAGUUCCUGGACAAGUGAUCAUGGCAGGUGACAAGUAUAUAUAUGCUGCAGUGGAUUCCUCUGUUCUAUCCCAGCUUCAAUCGCAGUUCCUCCAGUCUGGCAGCUGACUAGACACUAUCAGCAAUACUGCUUGCUGGACUAGAUCGUCGGGAGCCUCCCCUGCUUCCGAUACUUCUGCCAGGGCUAAUGCGUCCCACAUCACCUUCACUGGGACUGCCACGUCCGUUAUCCCGAGACAUACGUGCCUCCCCACUGACCCCGCGCACGGCCAACGACUCAUCAUUCAAACGUAGUGAGAUCUGGUGAGAGAAUAGUACAACUGUCUCAGGAUGUGGUUGGAGUUCCAUUAACUCUUCCUUUGGAGACCACAGCCUCCCCUUUGCAGGGCUUGGUUUAUGUGGCCACCAACAGUCAGG
rnacentral:misc_RNA from 1 species